rnacentral:lncRNA from 1 species
GAGCGGUUUCCGAGGCCUCACGCGCUGGCGGGGCUGUUGAGAUCGGUUGGGGGCUCCCAGGCCGCGAGGCGCGCUGCCAGUUGGGAUGAAAAUGGCGGAUGAGGCCGGGCGCGGUGGCUCACGCCUGUGGUCCCAGCACUUUGGGAGGCCGAGGCGGGCGGAUCACAAGGUCAGGAAAUCGAGACCAUCCUGGCGAACACUGUGAAACCCCGUCUCUUCUAAAAAUACAAAAAAAAAUUAGCCAGGCGUGGUGGCGGGCGCUUGUAGUCCCAGCUACUCAGGAUGCUGAGGCAGGAGAAUGGCGUGAACCCGGGAGGCGCAGCUUGCAGCGAGCCAAGAUGGCGCCGCUGCACUCCAGCCUGGGCAGCAGAGCGAGACUCCAUCUCAAAAAAAAAAAAAAAAAAAAAGAAAAGAAAAGAAACUGGCGGACAAAGGAAGAGAUCCUCCUUCAGGCAGGGUAGGGAAGAAGGGCACUCGGUGACCAGAGACCUUUUCCAGGACCAUGUCUUUGAAGCAAAUCUCAGCUCUUGUCUUCCGGAAGCGAUGGAGACAGAAUCCAGAAGCCUGAGACUCUCUCCUUUCCUGGCUUUGAUGAAGCAAGCUGCCACACUGGAGAGGCCUACAUGAUAAGGACCUGAAGGUGGCCUCCAGCUAGCUCCAGCCAACAGUUGGCAAGGAAUUGAGGACCUGAGUCCAAUAGACCUUGAGGAACUGAAUCCUGCAACAGCUACACAAGUGAGCAUGGCAGUGUAUCCUUCCCCAGUAAAGCCUUCAGAUGAGACCCCAGCCCCAGCUGACACCUUGAUUGAAGCCUUGUGAGAGACCCUGAAGCAGAGAAACCAGCUAGGCCUUGCCUGGAUUCCUGAUCCACAAACUGCUUUUGUGAUGCCCUAUAAUUACAUGAACUCUACUAAAAAGAGGGAUACUGGAAAGAAGAAUAAUGUUGAGACACCUUUGCAGAAGAAAAAACAACUUCCUCUCUUCCUCUACUUCACUCUGGCAAGUUCUCCAACCUGACAAGCCAGUAGGGAGUGCCGGAAUGUCAUGGCUGAGAAAAGAGAUGUUAACAGGCUGUAUGAUGUUGGCCACAGAGUGCCCCCCUAAAGAGGCCUCAGAAGAAUGAAGGGUAAGAAGCUCCUCCAUGAAAUCAGAUGGCACAAAAUUAGAGGAAAAAGAGUCCUUGGCAUGAGGCUGCCACCAGGAGAAUUCUGAAGAUGCAGGGCAUGAAUGGUCAAUGCCUUUCGUUGUUGGGGCAGAGGUGGAUGACCCACCAGAGCCACCUAGAGAUAACAUUUCCGGAAAAGUCUUCAAGACGGAGUGCCGGAAUGUCAUGGCUGAGAAAAGAGAUGUUAACAGGCUGUAUGAUGUUGGCCACAGAGUGCCCCCCUAAAGAGGCCUCAGAAGAAUGAAGGGUAAGAAGCUCCUCCAUGAAAUCAGAUGGCACAAAAUUAGAGGAAAAAGAGUCCUUGGCAUGAGGCUGCCACCAGGAGAAUUCUGAAGAUGCAGGGCAUGAAUGGUCAAUGCCUUUCGUUGUUGGGGCAGAGGUGGAUGACCCACCAGAGCCACCUAGAGAUAACAUUUCCGGAAAAGUCUUCAAGACGCUGAAAGAGGAUUUCUUCUGUGAGAGCCACACUUGAUGUGCUCAGUUAGAAGUCCUCAUCCAGGGCACAGACUCAGAGGUCGACAGUCACAUCUGUGCUCCCUCACAGGGCAAGCAUCCCAGAGACAGAGCUCUGGCUCCAGCCUCUGCUCAGAGACUCUCAGCGUUACUCCCCUGGUCAGCCCAACAAGAAGGAAGGCUUUGUUGAAUGACGGGUGACAUGGGAAUCUGACUCAUGAUCAAAUUUCAGCAGAGACUAUUCUCCUUCAGAGAGCCCAGACUCUCUAAAUAAUCCCACCUGGGACCACAGAAUUACUGUUUGGGAUUUUAUCCUGGAACUCUCCACCACAGCCGGAUAGGUAGUCUAUGAGCUACAGAUGGAAACCUUUGUCCUCCUGAACCCCUACAUCUGCCCAACCUGUUCCACAGAAGAGUGAAGUUCUAUCCUCUCUUCAGACUUCCCAUCUAAGACAUGUCUCUGUACUAACCAAACUUAUUUAGAAAUGUGGGAAUAGGAUUCGGAAACAAAAACAGGGCAUCUCUCUUGGGUGUUCACCCACAGUUCCUUACCUUUUGGGUGUCAUUAUUUUUUUCGGUGGGUGAUGAAUACAGGGUCAAUACCAUGUAGAACAAGUACAGUAUAAACAACCCCAACCCACUCAAGCAGAUGAAGUUGAGGUCAAUAUCCAAACAAUGUGAGUCAGGGCUCAGCCCUGUCUCAGUAUAGCUGUUCAGAAAACAGAGGAUAUUCUCCAUGGUCUGAAUAGCUCAGCUGCCUGAAGCAACUGAGCACUGAGGGUGCCCAGGCUUAACUGUAAGCACAGGCCUGCAUCACAGAGCGUGGAAGAGUCACAGAGGGUUUCUGAGGGUGGAGGGAUCAACAAGAGGAGGGUGUGUCCACAGCCCCAACCCCACCAGCCCAGCUGACUCCACCUUCCUGGGCCCUCUAGGUCGCUCUGUCCUACCCUAACACUCCAUUUCCCAACUCCAUCCUUUUUCAAGUCAUAUAUUUAUCUUAGUUGAAUUUUCCGUUUGUUCCAACAGUAAACCAGGCAUUACCCAAGUCCCACUUCGCUGUUUGGAGCCCUUAACUUGGACCCCACCAACUACACUGCCUUGAAAGCCUGAAAUACUGCCUGGAAUAUUUGUUGUACCCAGGCUUUUCUACUCUCAGGAUCACAUAUGUCCUCAAAUCCGUCUUAUCUACAGUAUGUUUUUGCCUUACAUAAAUGCAGAUAUAAAACUUAAACUUCCUUUAUUCUUACUUCGUUUCGUGAAUGGUGAACAUUACAUUCUUUGUUUGAAGUCAGUUUUUACUAUUUCCAAUCAGAGGGACUGACUCAAAUGAUUAAAACUAACGUUAUCAAGGAAAAGAAGCUCCCUGCCCAAUUUGAUUUUUUUGAGAAAAGAUGUUUUUAUUGGAAAUUAACCAAAAAGGAGACAGGAGUCCAGCUCAAAUCAGUCCUGUGUGCUGGCUUUCAUGCAGUCAUUUUAUUAGAAAACAUUUAGGGAGUGGCCUCUGGAAUUAAUAGUUGAUUGCUGGAAGGAAAGGGGAGGUCUGAAAAUCCUCGGCAUGCACAGUUUUCUUUAACGCUGCCUCAUGUAUUCCAUGGGCACAUUUGUGGGGAGUUGGUUAAAAUGUGGCAGAAAUUUGGGCUGUGACGCCAGCCAGCUUGUUCUGUGCAAACUCCAGUUGGCCUUAAUAGUUUUAAUCCAUUUUAGCCAGUUUUUAAAUCUCAGAAGCAGGGAGAGUUUCGGCAUUUUAGCAAGUUACUGUUGUUGUUUUUGUUUGAUCUCCUUUCUUGUAAACUGAUUAAUUUCAUUAGUCAUUGUUUUCUUCAACUCUCUGGGGCAUGGUUUCACUAAUAAUGCAUUAUUUAACAUCUACAAAAUGAAAAUAAGUGUACAAUAAAUGUAUAUAAUUGAAACUUCCAGGGACCUUAGGGGUAAAUUUAUAGAACUUAUUUUUCUCAAGUUAGUGAAGUUUAAACUGUUCAAGCACUUUUGGAACAUACUCUGUACACAAACACACAUACGCAUCGACCUAAAAGGGAGAAGUUGAUGGAAAAUUAUUAUAAGUAGAGAGUUAAUUUGGGUCAAGCUUGAGGAUUGCAACCUGGGAACACAGAUGCAAGUCAGCCUAAAUAUACACUCCAAUUACCAGUAGUUAUGAGUGGGUUUUUAAAGUGGAAAAAGGGGACAAGGAGUCGGCUGAUACAAAGUUGUAAUCAGGAAUUCUCAUUGGUUUACAGGAGUGACAUUGCUUAGUGAUUGGCUGUACAUUAUUAAGCUAUAGGGGGUGGGUUAUCCUGUCAGGUGUGGCAUUAUUGGGUUACUAUAUAGCUCCAUAUGGCAAUAGCAAGCAGUUUCAAGAGAUGAAUGUGUAGCUCAAGGAGGAAAUAAGGCUGUGAUUUCUGUCUCAUUUUAAUGUCUCUCUAGGCCUGAUAACUUAAAAGGACUCACAUGCCUCAGAUAAAAGUUCUUUUCUUUACAAACACAUCCACACACCCAUCCUGUGACAAAUCAAUGAGUGUUUUCAAAUCCAGAAUCAAUUAGUUCCUCCUUUUAUUUUAAUUUCUUAUUUGUCAUUUUGACCCCACAUUUUCUAACUCUACCGCAAACACAACCAGGCCCAACCCUCCACAUCACUUUGGUGGCAAGUAUGCAACUCCCUUAAAGCAGGGAUAGGUUACAGUGCGCUAAGCUAUUGUGAUCUAAAAGACCAAAAUAGAUGCCCCUUUAUCAACUAAGACAGACCCUUAGGUUAAGGAAACAAAGUUACCGAUGGGUCAAGGGUUCAGGGCCUGGAUGGCAUGGCAAAUUUCUAACUUUCUAUAACUAAACUCCCUCUCACCAAAUGAGCUAUCGGCUCUGAUUGGACAGAGGACCGGCCUUACAAACAUUCUUUUCUGAUAAGCUACUAAUAUUAGAGAUUUCCAGUUUCUGCCAGAUUAUAGAGGCGGCACACAAACCGCCUCUGUCCUACAGUUCACCUUAUCAUGUAAAGGGCCAAAUUCUACCUCAUUUUAGUGCUAAAACCAAGGUGAACAUGGGAUGUAUGUUACAUAUGUUUACUCAUUAUGGUGUGCUUGGCUCCUGCAUAAAUAUAUAUAGCUUUUCCCCCAAACUUAUUGAAUAUGUAUGAAUAUGAAUAUAAAACCCAACCUGUCCUUCCCCUAUUCCAACAGACAGCAGCUUUAUUCCACACUGGAUGCUUUCCCUUCCUGGCUUGCAAACUGAUUAAGCAAUAAGGCUCUCCUUUCUACUAUUUAGUCAUCUUGGUGCUCUUUUGGAUGAUACUACUGAUCCCAUCAGUGUUUGGUAGCAGAGUGAGACUUAGGUGUGUCAAAGCCUUAGAGCAGAACGUAGUCUUAAGCAACCUCACCUGACUACACUGUGGGCCAUGUAAAUGUGAUCUUUUCCUGAGUGCCUUGGCAUCCAAAAAACUUGAGAACAUCUGCUUUAUAUUCUAUAUAAUCACUUCUGCAAAUGUCCAAAUACCAACUACCUGUCAUACUUUAUUCAGGUGACUCCUGUCAGGUUUAAAUGAUCCCAAUAUCCUCCACCCCUAACCCAUCUUCCUACACAUUCUUUUCUAAACUCUUUAUCAUGACAGCUGUCAUCUGAACUGGCUCUUAACUUCUCAUGUCUUUCUUAAACUAUUGUUAAAGCAAACAAAUAUGGCUUGAGGACUCCAUGCUUCUAUAUUUGAGUGCUUGCAGAUGAAUUGUAACCUAGCCUAAUAGUUACACAAAUUGAAAAUCUAACUCAAUAGUAUGCACCUGUAACAAUAGCUGAGUGUUGGCCAAUCCCGGCAGCCAUAAUUCAACCACUCAUAGACUGCUUAAUGUUCAAACUGCAUUCAAAAAGGCAAACGCCGAGUUGUAAUCAAUCUCACUCUUUCUGUACCUCUCACCUCUGAUUCAUGUACGUCACUUUGCCUUUUUGUCUAUAAAUUUGUUCUAACCACAAAGCACCCCUGGAGUCUCUGUGAAUCUGCUGUGAUUCUGGGGGCUGGACGAUUCGCAAAUCUUUCAUUGCUCAGUUAAACUACUUUAAAUUUAAUUUCUCUGAAGUUUCUUUUAAUACUAUAAAGCUCCUUAUUAGACACCCAUGGGCCACCACAGUUACCCAUGGGCCACCACUGUUACUGAUCUCCUUUGAAAGGAUAAGACAGCCUUCAAGCCAGGCCAGGUCUCCUUUCAUUUAUGCAAGAGCAGGUAACCUGCCUUGAGAAUAAAAUCUGCCAAGAGAUGCCCCUUCCUCCUCUCUUUUAUAUGUAGCCUCAGCCAAGUUUUCAUCUCAUAAAUAUUUGCUGCUGGAAACUAGGAGACACAGGCAUCUGUAAGCCACAGGCUCUGCCCUUGACCUCAUGUGCCUAUUUUAUCAAUGAAUGAAACCGAAGCCCAGAGAGGGUAAGUGACUUCUCUAAAUCAGACAGUAGUAAAUAUCAAAGCCCU